UGUUUUGCAGUUUUCAAAUCCUUAUAACAUUUUUAUUAAAUUGCGUUAAGGUGGUAGAUUGUAUUCAAAGCUGUUUCUGAGUUUUGAUGGCUUUUAUGAAUGGUCAACACUUUUUGAAUCAGUUUAUCAGAGUUUACAGUCAUGGUGUUUACGUGAACUCUGUUCUACUUUCACUGUGUACUAGUGAACCGUGACAGCCCAUGAGAGAGAACGUGAGCCAGCAAAGGCAGACAGCAGUAAAUCUUUGUCUCUUUGUGCAAGACACAUAGCCUGCAAAAAUGUUAACAUAUGAUGAUAUUUUAAAGGACAUCGGAGAGUUUGGAAGAUACCAGAGGUGGAUUAUUCUGCUUUUGUCUUUAAGUGGGGUAACAUUUUCAUUCCUGAUUAUCGCAUUUGUUUUUCUGGGAAUGACUCCAAAUCACUGGUGCAGGGGUCCCCCUGGCCUAUUGGCGCUAAGAGAAAGGUGUGGAUGGUCUCUGGAACAGGAAAAGAAUUAUACCGUGCCUCUGGAGAGAUCAAGCAGCUCCUCGUACAGUCGAUGUGAAAGCUAUGAGAUAGACUGGAAUGCAACUUUUCUCACCUGUGAAUAUCCUGUAUCAUUAAUGACUAAUGAUUCUGGAGAUUUUCUACGCACAACUUGUAAAAAUGGUUGGUCUUUUGAUGGUUCACGAACAACAGUUGUCAGCGAGUAUGAACUUGUGUGUGAAGAUGCCUGGAAGGUGGAUAUGUCUCAAACAUGUAUUGAAAUCGGCUUUUUCCUAGGAGCACUGAUCACAGGCUAUUCUGCAGAUAGGUUUGGACGAAAGCUUUGCUUGCUGGCCUGUCUGGCUGGAACAGGAGUUUCUGGGAUUGCUGUCGCUGUUGCACCAACUUACCCAGUGUUUGUGAUUUUUCGAAUCCUACAAGGCUUAUUUGGAAGAGGGAUUUGCUUGAUCAAUGCUGUCAUUGCUGCAGAAUUGGUUGGACCAAGAUACAGAAAAGUUGUUAUAGUUGUAACACAAGCAGCUGUCUCAUCGGGUAUCAUGGUACUUCCUGGUUUGGCCUAUUUAAUUCGAUCUUGGAAAGGAAUCCAAAUGGCCAUUACCAUUCCAAACUUUGUUCUGCUGCUUUACUGCUGCUUAAUCCCAGAAUCUCCUCGAUGGUUGUUGACUCGUAAACGGAUCAAAGAAGCAUUGAAAAUUGCCCAGGAUAUUGCAGAACAGAAUGGCAAGAGUCUCCCAUCGACUUACAAAGAGAUAGUAAGAGGAGAGAACAGCUCUGAAGAAAUAAAGAAUCCCUCCUUACUUGAUCUGUUCAGAACACCACAAAUGAGAAAGCGAACAUUUAUUUUAAUGUACUCCUGGUUCACAAACAAUUUGGUGUACCUUGGGCUUAUCUUGCGUUUAGGAAUCCAGGGAGGUGACAGUUACACAGAUCUCUUAGUCGUGGGUGCAGUGGAACUUCUAGCAGCGAUUCUUGGUAUCCUUGUGGUCGAUCGCUUUGGACGGCGCAGUCCCUUGUUGAUUUCCAACAUACUGGCAGGGACAUUCUGUCUACUGGCGGCAUGUAUUUCAGUUGAAAUGCACUGGCUCAAAAGUGCCGUUGCCACAUUGGGCAGAUGUGGAACAACAAUGUCACUCAGUAUACUCUUCCUUGUGACCAAUGAGCUACAACCCACUUCAAUAAGCAUGUUCGUCCCUGAGUGCCAUUGGUGGGAUUGCUGCACCAUUUGUGCUCUUCAAAUCAGCGAUCAUUUGGAGCGAACUUCCUCUGGUAAUUUUUGGUGCUCUAUCUCUGGUAGCUGGUGGUCUGAUGCAACUGUUGCCUGAAACAAAGGGCACAAGAUUACUAGAAACAGUCGACGAUGUGGAAAAUAUUAUGCGGCUUUAUAACCAAGAUGAAUACAAAGAGAUGAUCAAUCUCAGCAUUUCCACCUAGAGAAUGGAAAGAAAACUAUUACAGGAAGAAAGAGAUCCUUGUCAAAUCAAAAUUCAAUGAAACCUUACUUGUCUGUCUUUCUACAAUCAAUUGUCUUCAUUCUGCUAGUACAGCUUUGUGCAAAAGACAAAGUUGAGUGAAUAACUGAUAUCAAUUGGAAGCCUAUUAUGCAUUGUUGAAUAAUAAAUUACAAUUGCAAAAUGGGUAGUAAUAGAUUGCCCAUUAUAACUGAUAUGAUAACAUUGAUGAAUAUAUGACCUUGCAUCUAUAACUUACUAAUGGGAAUAGGAAAUUAAAUUAUCAGGAUCAGGAACCUUUGAUUUGAAGAAAGAUCACUGGCUUUGAAAUGUUAAGUCUGUUUUCUUUCUCCACCGAUGCUGCCGGACCUGCUGAGUUUCUCCAGCAAUUUCUGUUCUUGUUUCAGAUUUUCAGUCUCUGCAGUUUUUUGUUUCAUAACAUUAAAAAUUAAGUGUACUAUAAAGGAAGGAAUUGAAUCAUUUGAAAGCAUUGAAAUGGAAUAAAACAAAACUAAUAUUAGAAUUCUCCACAUGUUAAAAUUAAAAAUGUGUUUAAUUACCAAA